GAUGAACGACUAGCGACAGGCCUAACACAUGCAAGUCGGAGGGGUAGAGAAGGAGCUUGCUUUUCUUGAGACCGGCGCACGGGUGAGUAACGCGUAUGCAACCUGGCCGUAAGAGGGGGAUAGCCUCUCGAAAGAGAGAUUAACACCGCAUAAUACUAAUUAAUGGCAUCAUUUAUUAGUUAAAUAUUUAUAGCUUACGGAUGGGCAUGCGUCUGAUUAGUUUGUUGGUAGGGUAACGGCCUACCAAGACUACGAUCAGUAGGGGUUCUGAGAGGAAGGUCCCCCACACUGGUACUGAGACACGGACCAGACUCCUACGGGAGGCAGCAGUGGGGAAUUUUGGACAAUGGGCGCAAGCCUGAUCCAGCAAUGCCGCGUGCAGGAAGAAGG
rnacentral:rRNA from 1 species